AUGCGCGGGUUCCACGACUGCUCGGUUGACCUAUCUUGUGUCAACGGAGCUCAUAUUGUGCUACUCCCGAAGGGCGAGGGGGUGCUCGCGCCAGGCGGGUUCCGCCCCAUCUCGCUCCAAAACUGCGAUGCCAAGAUCCCAUGCAAGGUCCUCACAACUAGACUUCAACGACAGAUCGCGGACGUGGUCGACGUCGACCAGUCUGGGUUCAUCCGUGGGAGGAGUAUCUCCGAGAACUUCGUGCUCGCCACGGAGAUUGUGCAGUGCUGCCAGGCCCGCCGGGUUCCUGCCCUUGUUCUGAAGCUGGACUUUGCUAAGGCAUUCGACUCCAUUAACUGGCGAAGCCUUCGCCGGAUUAUGGAGGUGCGCGGCUUCCCACCACUCUGGUGUGAUUGGAUGGACUCGAUCCUACAAUCAUCUAUGUCCGCUGUGAUGCUCAAUGGCAUGCCUGGGAGGUGGAUCAGAUGCAAAAAAGGGCUGCGACAGGGGGACCCUCUGUCUCCUUACCUUUUCCUGCUGGUGGCUGAUGUGCUACAACGGAUGAUCAAGGCCGAGGGCGGGAUGCAUCACCCCUUGGUUGACGAUGCACCGCCCCUUGUCCUUCAGUACGCCGAUGACACGAUCAUCAUCAUGCGAGCUGAGUUGGGAGCGGUGCGGCGUCUAAAAGGCGUCCUCGAUGACUUUGCUGCUGCGACAGGGCUGGUCAUCAACUUCUCCAAGAGCACCGUCGCGCCCAUCCACGUCUCCGACUGCGAGCUGUGCUGUGGGAUCCUUCCGACAAAUCUACCUCGGGCUCCCCCUAUCAAACCGAAAGCUCACCAUGGAUGA
rnacentral:rRNA from 1 species